rnacentral:rRNA from 1 species
CAGUAGCCACGGUAAUACAGAGGGUGCGAGCGUUAAUCGGAUUUACUGGGCGUAAAGCGUGCGUAGGCGGCUAAUUGAGUCGGAUGUGAAAUCCCCGAGCUUAACUUGGGAAUUGCAUUCGAUACUGGUUAGCUAGAGUGUGGGAGAGGAUGGUAGAAUUCCAGGUGUAGCGGUGAAAUGCGUAGAGAUCUGGAGGAAUACCGAUGGCGAAGGCAGCCAUCUGGCCUAACACUGACGCUGAGGUACGAAAGCAUGGGGAGCAAACAGGAUUAGAUACCCGUGUAGUCCCUGUCUCUUAUAC